AUUGAACGCUGGCGGCAUGCCUUACACAUGCAAGUCGAACGGCAGCACGGGAGCAAUCCUGGUGGCGAGUGGCGAACGGGUGAGUAAUAUAUCGGAACGUGCCCAGUCGUGGGGGAUAACGUAGCGAAAGCUACGCUAAUACCGCAUACGAUCUAUGGAUGAAAGCGGGGGAUCGCAAGACCUCGCGCGAUUGGAGCGGCCGAUAUCAGAUUAGGUAGUUGGUGAGGUAAAGGCUCACCAAGCCGACGAUCUGUAGCUGGUCUGAGAGGACGACCAGCCACACUGGGACUGAGACACGGCCCAGACUCCUACGGGAGGCAGCAGUGGGGAAUUUUGGACAAUGGGCGCAAGCCUGAUCCAGCAAUGCCGCGUGCAGGAUGAAGGCCUCGGUUGUAACG
rnacentral:rRNA from 1 species